UCCCGCGUAAUUUAAGCAUAUUAAUAAGCGGAGGAAAAGAAACUAACAAGGAUUCCCUCAGUAGCUGCGAGCGAACAGGGAAGAGCCCAGCACCGAAUCCUGCGCGUCAAACGGCGCGUCUGGAAAUGUGGUGUGUGGGAGGAUCCGAUUAUCUCGCUCGGAAACGCCAGUCAAAGUCCAUCUUGAAAGCGGCCACAGCCCACAGAGGGUGCCAGGCCCGUAGGACGGCGAACGUUCCGAGCGAAAGGGUCUCUCCCCAGAGUCGGGUUGCUUGAGAGUGCAGCUCUAAGCGGGUGGUAAACUCCAUCUAAGGCUAAAUACGACCACAAGACCGAUAGCGAACAAGUACCGUGAGGGAAAGUUGAAAAGAACUUUGAAGAGAGAGUUCAAGAGUACGUGAAACCGUUCGGGGGUAAACGGAUGAAAUCUGGAAAAUCGAAGGGAGAUGUUCAAGCCCCACUCGCCGCGCGUUGUCCGGCCGCCGCCGAUGGGUGCGCGGCGCCCGUCCGUCCCGCAAGGGGCGGCGGUGUCGUCCGCGCCGCCCACGUGUCGCGCGGUCGUGCUCGCCGGCGUCGGGCCGCACUCAUCUCCUUGUAGUACGUCGCGACCCGUUGGGCGUGCGUCAAAGGCCCGCGCGUGGAGCCGGCCGGUGACGUCUUGCCCCCGCCUCGGCGGGGUGUCUCGGCGCCCGGCCGACCGCUGCGGUGUCCCGGCGCACCGGCCCGACGGUAUGACGAAAACGAUCGAGAUCCACAAAUUGCACACCGCCUCGCCGGCGUGCGGCGCUCCGGCGCCCGGAUCUAGUCGGCGACGCUCCAUCCAGAGCAUCAUCCGACCCGUCUUGAAACACGGACCAAGGAGUCUAACAUGUGCGCGAGUCAUUGGGACCGCACUAAACCUAAAGGCGUAACGAAAGUGAAGGUCGGUUCUAUCGCGGCGGGCCCACGGGCCCGAUCGCCGAUUGCCGCCGAGGGGGGAUGCAGCCCGUCCGCCGCGACGCGGCAGCCGCACCCCCGGGGCGUCUCGUUGUCAUCGCGACACAGCAGGCGCACCCAGAGCGUACACGUUGGGACCCGAAAGAUGGUGAACUAUGCCUGGUCAGGUCGAAGUCAGGGGAAACCCUGAUGGAGGACCGUAGCGAUUCUGACGUGCAAAUCGAUCGUCAGAGCUGGGUAUAGGGGCGAAAGACUAAUCGAACCAUCUAGUAGCUGGUUCCCUCCGAAGUUUCCCUCAGGAUAGCUGGUGCUCGGAGGCAUAUUGUGGAGCGGUGUCCGGCGGGCUUGCCCGCGCGGCCCGCACGUAACCAGUCUCAUCUGGUAAAGCGAAUGAUUAGAGGCCUUGGGGCCGAAACGACCUCAACCUAUUCUCAAACUUUAAAUGGGUGAGAUAUUCGACUUGCUCGAAUCGAUGAAGUCAAAUAAAUGUUUUUGACAGGAUGAACGAGUGCCAAGUGGGCCAAUUUUGGUAAGCAGAACUGGUGCUGUGGGAUGAACCAAACGUCGAGUUAAGGCGCCCAAAUCGUUGCUCAUGGGAUACCAUGAAAGGCGUUGGUUGCUUAAGACAGCAGGACGGUGGCCAUGGAAGUCGGAAUCCGCUAAGGAGUGUGUAACAACUCACCUGCCGAAGCAACUAGCCCUGAAAAUGGAUGGCGCUCAAGCAACGUGCCUAUACUCGACCGUCGCCGACACAAGACGAGCGCGCCGCGCAAGCGCGCGCGCCGUCACGAAGUCGCGACGAGUAGGAGGGUCGCGACGGUGAGCGCAGAAGUGUCGGUCGCGGGACCGCAUGGAGCCGCCGUCGGUGCAGAUCUUGGUGGUAGUAGCAAAUACACUAGCGAGGCCCUGGUGGACUGACGUGGAGAAGGGUUUCGUGUGAACAGCCGUUGCACACGAGUCAGUCGAUCCUAAGCCCCAGGAGAAAUCCGAUGUUGAUGUGCAGUCGAAAAUGCAAUUUGAUCUCGACUCGCAAAAAAUGAUGAUUGUGUCGAUGGUGGCCGUCCGUCGGACGGACCGCAGCGGGCCCGAACGCCUCUAGGGCCGCGCGCGGGAAGACGAGGGCGCGAGCCAUGCACACGAACAGAAAACGAUGUGAGACAAAAAGAGUGACAAAGUGAUCGUAUGACCACGUCGGGCGAAAGGGAGUCCGGUUCCUAUUCCGGAACCCGGCAGCGGAACCGACCAUGCGGGCCAAUGUCGCGAAAGCGGCAACUCGUCGGGGUAACCCAAAGGGACCCGGAGACGCCGUCGGAUGAUCGAGGCAGAGUUUUCUGUUCUGUUUGAGCGUUCGAGUUCCCUGGAAUCGCCUAGCGCGGAGAUAGGGUUUGGAACGCGAAGAGCACCGCACUUGCGGCGGUGUCUCGAUCUAUCCCUCGGACCUUGAAAAUCCGGGAGAGGGCCACGUGGAGGUGUCGCGCCGGAUCGUACCCAUAUCCGCAGCAGUCUCCAAGUAGA
rnacentral:rRNA from 1 species